rnacentral:lncRNA from 1 species
GAAGAAAUAGGGUGUUUGGGAUUUUGUGUUUUUGGAAACCUGGGAAAAACAGGGAAUUUUGGAAAAAGAAACUGAAAGUAAACUUUUUAAGGUAUGUGACAUAUUUUCCCACAGAGUGAUCAGAGGCUUGUUUCAAUUUGUGCAAAUGUUGGUUUAAGGAAGCACAUGAACAUGGGAGCAGAAGUUUCAGAAUUAAACGUUGGGCUCUUCCAGAGCCCGACUCUGCCUAGAGAAACCAAAAGGAAAAGCUUGAGCAACAUCACCUUUCCCGAGACUGUAUCAACAACUGCAUUGCUCAACUUGCCUUACACCCGUGUAAAUGGCGCAGCUCGGACCUCUUUUUAAUGAGUUGACGCUGCUGAGUUUCAUCGCACAAAGGUUUGCCUGGAAGUGACAAAACUGUCAGAAAAUUUCCAAGUUUUGGGAGAAGUGAAUGCAAAUGAAGUUUGUUAAACCUCGACAACAAACACGAGAGAAAAAAGAGAACUUGUUUUCAAUCAGAG